UGGGAUGGAUGCCUCUUCACGCGUAC
rnacentral:misc_RNA from 1 species